GUCUAAAGCGCUGGAAGCAGCAGGCCAACGAAUGCUAAGGAUUUCUGGCAAACCACCAGAGGCCAGGAGGGGGCAAGGGAAGAUUCUCCCCUACAGAUUUUGGAGUGAGCAUCACCCCACUGACAUCCUGAUUUUGGACUUCAGGACUUCAGAAGUGUCCUUUGUGAAAUGUAAAGAGCAAGCUCCCUGGCAGAACAGACCACCUUUCUCCAGCAUGUGCUCCAGAAACAAGAGGCCAGGCUAUGGUUUACCUCUCCUGGGACCAAGUCCAGCGCAGCCUUUCCUAACUCCAUCCUUCCCAAACUAGAGUUGGGGAGGAUGCAAGAAAUAAUAAAUAAAGGUGACAAAAUUCUUGUGAACUGCAGA
rnacentral:lncRNA from 10 species